AACGAACGCUGGCGGCAGGCUUAACACAUGCAAGUCGAACGAGAUCUUCGGAUCUAGUGGCAGACGGGUGAGGAACACGUGGGAACAUCCCUUUCAGUUCGGAAUAACGUUGGGAAACUAACGCUAAUACCGGAUACGUCCUUCGGGAGAAAGAUUUAUCGCUGAAAGAUUGGCCCGCGUCUGAUUAGCUAGUUGGUGAGGUAACGGCUGACCAAGGCUACGAUCAGUAGCUGAUCGGAGAGGAUGAUCAGCCACAUUGGGACUGAGACACGGCCCAAACUCCUACGGGAGGCGGCAGUGGGGAAUAUUGGACAAUGGGCGCAAGCCUGAUCCAGCCAUGCCGCGUGAGUGAUGACGGCCUUCGGGUUGUAAAGCUCUUUUGUCCGGGAAGAUAAUGACUGUACCGGAAGAAUAAGCCCCGACAAACUUCGUGCCAGCAGCCGCCGUAACAC
rnacentral:rRNA from 1 species